rnacentral:lncRNA from 1 species
ACAUCGCGCUUGAGCUUGGCUCGCCGGUUCUGGAACCAAGUGACCACCUGCGCGUUGGCCAGGCCGAGUCGCGUAGCUAGCCCGUCUCGCUCGGACGGCGCCAGGAAACUUUUCGCGCAGAAACUCCUGGAGAACAGCCCCGGCCGCCAGGUACUCGCCCGCCCGGACCGCAAAGCCCACAGAGCUUCAAUUCGCAGGAAGGGGAGUGGGGAGCCCUGAGCUGGGGUGUUCCUGGAAGAGGUCGGGGAGCGGGGGGAGAGGCAUUCCAGGCUGGAGGCCUGGAAACGUUUGGAAGCUUUGCUAACCUUGGAGACCAUGUCAGGAAAGAAGCGUACCCAGGCCGUCUGCUGUGUGCCCACCCCGAUCCCCAUCAGUGCCCCACGCACUCGAGCUCUUCUUCGGCGUCUGCAGCCUCUUCAUCCGCGCGGAGAGGCGGAGGUCUCCCGGAAACAGUGUCCGACUGUGGCACCCCAGAGCGUCCAAUGCGAGCUCAGGCCUUUCCCGCAAGUCUGGAGUUUUCUUAUCCAGUUGAGGCCGCCUUCGCUGUACUCACUCUCUGCCUCCCACCCCAUCUUCUGCCACCCGACCUCCAUCUUUGAUGGUUAGCGCCUUCAGCCCUCAACAGCUUCGCACAACCAACCCCUAGAAGCCGUGGAGUCAGACCGGCCAGGGUGGGACCUAGGUUUUAACUCGGGUUCUGGCUACACACGCUGCGCCUCCAUACAGUUUGUCCCAGGUUUGGCAGCAGGCCGGCUACCUUCAGGAAUUCUUUGCUUUGGCUUCUGUCUGUUCCUGUCUGUUGGGCAAGUUUCUAGCUACCCCACUGAGAGAACCAUAGAACAAGGACCCUGGCAUGGCAUACAGACAAGGAAUGUUUGCUGAAUUAAUGGAGCUGGUGCCUUGCAGCUUCCCUUUUGUUCCUUGAAGUUGCCCUUGCUCUCCUCCACAUCAGCUCCCUCUCCUCCUCAGCUACUUAUUCCCCACCCUGGCUUCUUCUAGUCGCAGUCCCCAAGUACUUGCUGAAUCCUGUAUGGACAGCCUAAGCCUCCAUUUCUGACAAUUCCUGUGGCCCCACUCCAUUUGUUUUUUAGACUUCUCCCU